rnacentral:misc_RNA from 1 species
GAUGAAGAACGUAGCGAAAUGCGAUAAGUAAUGUGAAUUGCAGAAUUCAGUGAAUCAUCGAAUCUUUGAACGCACAUUGCGCCCGUCAGUAUUCUGGCGGGCAUGCCUGUUCGAGCGUCAUUACGCCCCUCAAGUCCCCUGUGGACUUGGUGUUGGGGAUCGGCGAGGCUGGUUUUCCAGCACAGCCGUCCCUUAAAUUAAUUGGCGGUCUCGCCGUGGCCCUCCUCUGCGCAGUAGUAAAACACUCGCAACAGGAGCCCGGCGCGGUCCACUGCCGUAAAACCCCCCAACUUUUUAUAGUUGACCUCGAAUCAGGUAGGAUUACCCGCUGAGCUUAAGCAUAUCAAUAAGCGGAGGA